UCACCAUUGGCACUGGAGAAUCUUGAGGGUCUCACAACAUUAAAGUUGACUUCGUACAUUAAUUUGCAUUUGCCAAAAUAUUUUUGGAAUAUGAAAAGUUUGAGACAUAUGAUUAUCCACCACUAUUAUUGUGAUUCAUGCCCAAUAGUAGCAACUCCAUUUAUUGAAACAAUUUCUGGUUUAGAAGUCUUACAAACCUUAGAUUUGAAAAGUUCUUUGAGUAUAAGGGAUGAGCAUUUAUUGAGGAAGCUUCCCCAUCUCAAAUAUUUGAGCUGUCUGGUCUCGCCAUCAUCUUCAUUUCCUGAAAUUGACAUUCUCCGUCAUCUUGAAUCCCUUUGGUUAUACAAUACUUGCAAUGAUGAUCCACAUAAUCAUGGGAAUCCACAUCUUCUUAAUGAUCUUAAACUCAACAAGUUUCCAUCAAGUAUUAAGGAAAUAUAAGUUUGGAGGGUAUUACUCUUUCGGUGUCAGCAAUUUCAAUAAUGGCACAACUCCCCAUUCUUGAGGCUCUAAUACUAGCGUGAUGCAAGUUUGAGGAGGGUUUAGAAUGGAAUCUGGAUGAGGAAACCCAAUUCCACAAACUAAAAUACCUCCAACUACACCAUCUUGAUAUUAGAAUUUAAUUUGGAAUAUUUGCAGUGAAGAGUCUUUUCCUUGUCUUGAGCAAGUAAUUUUGGAUUAUUGUGUGGAGUUAUGGGAGGUGCCUUAUAGAUUGGCAGAUAUUUUAACAUUGAAACUACUCAGUGUGCGUAGCUGCCAUAAUAGCACUCAAAGUUCAGCGAAGAAAAUUGAGGAAGAUGUACGAGACAUAGGAAAUGAGCAACUUAAUGUGGAGAUUAUAUCAAGUAAUCCAAGUACAGGGUGUGUAACGAAAAGAGUUUAUCAACUUGGGGGAUUGUCGGGAUUGCAGGGCAGAGAACUCAAUUUAUUAAAUCUGAAGCAAGAACAUCAACAAGAUAAUGUGGUGGUACAUCUAACCACUCACCAGGACCUGUCUCUGAAACGGCUUCCCUUGCAAGAGCAUGGGAUGCACGGUUCGUAGAUCUCCUAGCAUAACACAAGGUGAACAUGGAUAAAGGGAUUCAAGAUGAAUUCAAGUUGAGAAGAAAUUAAGAAUAGACCUAUUGGAGAUUUAUUAUGUGAGAAGCUUUAUGGUUGUAUAGUAUUAUCCUUUCUUGUAAUAUAGAAGUUGGAUUUGGGUUGAGUUUAUUUGAUGUUGUAAAUCUUAGCCUUAGCGUUUGGGUAUAGGGAAAUACCUGA